GCCUCUAUAGCUCAGUAGGAAGAGCGUUCGUCUCAUAAUCAUGAUUACUACCGCGUAACUCCACGGAGUCAGCGAAAGGUCAGCAGUUCGAUCCUGCUUGGAGGCA